GUUUUCAUACUUACAUAAAAGUUGAAGUCACUCAAACUGACAUUUUUGGGCUCCUAAAACUGCUUAUAUAAAAUCGAUUUGAACUGUUGAGAGAUUAAUCUGGAGCCGAAAAGUCACCGUUAUCACUUUUUGGUUGAUAUUAAAUCAACCUCUAUGCUACAUGUCUGAUGCAAGCGUUCUUCUGUACAGCCUUUGUGGACCAGUGUUUUUAGUUUCUAGUGUGGGUAGAUAUCAAAUGAUUAUCACCUUGGCCUUGUAUUUGUGGCUUGCUUUUCCUCAAACCAUCUCCUUUUAUGAUAGGGC